rnacentral:tRNA from 1 species
GGUUUUAUAUAUUAAAAAAAUAAUUAAAUUGCAAGUUUAAAGAUGUUACAAACUAAGACUU